rnacentral:misc_RNA from 1 species
CAUUUUCAAUCUGGUAGGUCAUCACUCCGAGAGGGGUUAUUUUUUUAAAGAAUCUUCUUAAUCCUCCAAUGGCCAUUUUUGGCGUAUCUGUUGGUGUAUAUAAAUAUAUAGUAUUAUUCAAUUGAUAUUGGAUACAGACACAGAAAUAAAGGGAUGUGCUUGUAAUAAGGAGAGUUGUUGGGGACCAAGAGCUGUUUCAAAUGCUAUGAAUUUAUUGCUAUUCUGGUUUUCUUCG